UAACAUUUGGUGUUCAAGCAUAAUAACUUUUGGUGUUAAAGGAAAAUAGAAAAAUUCUGUUAAUGUUAG
rnacentral:tRNA from 1 species